rnacentral:rRNA from 1 species
UACGUAGGGUGCAGGCGUUAAUCGGAAUUACUGGGCGUAAAGCGUGCGCAGGCGGUCUUUUUAAGUCAGAUGUGAAAUCCCCGGGCUUAACCUGGGAACUGCGUUUGAAACUGGAAGGCUUGAGUGUGGCAGAGGGGGGGUGGAAUUCCACGUGUAGCAGUGAAAUGCGUAGAGAUGUGGAGGAACACCGAUGGCGAAGGCAGCCCCCCUGGGCUAACACUGACGCCUCAUGCACGAAAGCGUGGGGAGCAAACAGG